rnacentral:rRNA from 1 species
GACGAACGCUGGCGGCGUGCUUAACACAUGCAAGUCGAACGAGUGGCGGACGGGUGAGUAAUGUCUGGGAAACUGCCUGAUGGAGGGGGAUAACUACUGGAAACGGUAGCUAAUACCGCAUACCAUCGGAUGUGCCCAGAUGGGAUUAGCUAGUAGGUGGGGUAACGGCUCACCUAGGCGACGAUCCCUAGCUGGUCUGAGAGGAUGAACGGCCACAUUGGGACUGAGACACGGCCCAGACUCCUACGGUAGGCAGCAGUGGGGAAUAUUGCACAAUGGGCGCAAGCCUGAUGCAGCCAUGCCGCGUGUAUGAAGAAGGCCUUCGGGUUGUAAAGUACUUUCAGUGGGGAGGCGUUACCCGCAGAAGAAGCACCGGCUAACUCCGUGCCAGCAGCCGCGGUAAUAC